rnacentral:rRNA from 1 species
AGAGUUUGAUCCUGGCUCAGGAUGAACGCUAGCGGCAGGCCUAAUACAUGCAAGUCGAACGGGAUCUAUGAUCAGCUUGCUGAUUAUAGUGAGAGUGGCGGAUGGGUGCGUAACGCGUGAGCAACCUACCCAUAUCUGGGGGAUAGCCCGGCGAAAGUCGGAUUAACACCGCAUAAUAUACAUUUGACGCAUGUCAUAUGUAUUAAAUAUUUAUAGGAUAUGGAUGGGCUCGCGUGACAUUAGCUAGUUGGUAAGGUAACUGCUUACCAAGGCUACGAUGUCUAGGGGCUCUGAGAGGAGUAUCCCCCACACUGGCACUGAGACACGGGCCAGACUCCUACGGGAGGCAGCAGUAAGGAAUAUUGGUCAAUGGACGGAAGUCUGAACCAGCCAUGCCGCGUGCAGGAAGACGGCCUUCUGGGUUGUAAACUGCUUUUCUACGGGAAGAACAGUCAAUACGUGUAUUGAUUGACGGUACUGUAGGAAUAAGGAUCGGCUAACUCCGUGCCAGCAGCCGCGGUAAUACGGAGGAUCCGAGCGUUAUCCGGAUUUAUUGGGUUUAAAGGGUGGUCAGGUGGUUUAUUAAGUCGGGGGUGAAAUUCAGCGGCUCAACCGUUGGUUGUCCUUCGAUACUGGUAAACUUGAAUGUAGUUGAAGAAGGCGGAAUGUGGCAAGUAGCGGUGAAAUGCAUAGAUAUGCCACAGAACACCUAUUGCGAAGGCAGUUUUCUAAACUAUUAUUGACACUGAACCACGAAAGCGUGGGUAUCGAACAGGAUUAGAUACCCUGGUAGUCCACGCUGUAAACGAUGAUAACUCGAUGUCGGCGAUAUACAGUCGGUGUCUUAGCGAAAGCGUUAAGUUAUCCACCUGGGGAGUACGUCCGCAAGGAUGAAACUCAAAGGAAUUGACGGGGGCCCGCACAAGCGGAGGAGCAUGUGGUUUAAUUCGAUGAUACGCGAGGAACCUUACCCGAGCUUGAAAGUUAGUGCAUGAUUCAGAGAUGGAUCAGUCCUUCGGGACACGAAACUAGGUGCUGCAUGGCUGUCGUCAGCUCGUGCCGUGAGGUGUUGGGUUAAGUCCCGCAACGAGCGCAACCCCUAUUGUCAGUUGCCAUCACGUAAUGGUGGGGACUCUGACGAGACUGCCCGCGCAAGCGGAGAGGAAGGUGGGGACGACGUCAAGUCAUCAUGGCCCUUACGUCCGGGGCUACACACGUGCUACAAUGGCCGGUACAACGGGCAGCUACACAGCGAUGUGAUGCGAAUCCCGAAAAGCCGGUCCCAGUUCGGAUUGGGGUCUGCAACUCGACCCUAUGAAGCUGGAUUCGCUAGUAAUCGCGUAUCAGCAAUGACGCGGUGAAUACGUUCCCGGGCCUUGUACACACCGCCCGUCAAGCCAUGAAAGUUGGGAGUGCCUGAAGCAUGUAACCGCAAGGAGCGUGUCAGGGUAAGACCGAUGAUUGGGGCUAAGUCGUAACAAGGUAGCCGUA